GGACACAAUUGCUCUGUUGGAGGAGACUAAGUCUCAGUGGACUUUAUGGCACUGGUGUGGAGAUUAUUUUCUCCACACCGUUUACUACCUGAGUUUCUUUGCCAGUGACCUUAUUUCUUGAGGACAAAAAAGAGUGAGCCCUUACUUUCAACCCAAGCAAUUGGCGUUUGGCUUAUAACUAGAGACCUCAGAUGAUUAGCAGACAGACAGGUUUUUAUGGAUUAGUCUGGCCUCCAUCUUUGUAGCUCAGGAUAACUUUGAAGAUUCCUAACCACCUGCCUCCCUGCCCUGACUGUGUGGCCAUCACCCCUGGAUUAUAUGCUGCUGAGAAUCAAACCCAGGACCAUGUGCAUGCUAUACGAGUCCUCUACUAAUUGAACACAACCUUACUACCCUCACGUUUUGACCUCACCAUUAUGUUGGGCUGUUAAAAAACAGUCUCACAGCUUGAGAGACGGCUCAGCAGCUAAGAGUAUGUUUUGUUCUUACAGAGGACAAGGUGGAGUUCAGUGCCCAUCUAGAAUCUUCCAACUGCUUUUAUUUGAUGUUUAUGUGCCUAAGCACAUGCCUGCCAUACCACUGACUGACACAUGUACCAUCUAGUUUAUGAAGACUUUGCCCAUAUAUUUAAAAUAUUAAAGUAUAAUAGUUUGCACAUGUAUGAUGUCGAUGAAGUCAAAUAAAUUCCUCUUUAGAUCUCA